CCUACGGGAGGCAGCAGUGGGGAAUAUUGGGCAAUGGGCGCAAGCCUGACCCAGCAACGCCGCGUGAAGGAAGAAGGCUUUCGGGUUGUAAACUUCUUUUCUCAGGGACGAAGCAACUGACGGUACCUGAGGAAUAAGCCUCGGCUAACUACGUGCCAGCAGCCGCGGUAAUCCGUCGGUGGCAAGCGUUCUUCGGAUUUACUGGGUGUAAAGGGCUUGUGGGUGGGAAAGCAAGUCAGUUGUGAAAACCAUGGGGUCAACCUGGGGCGUGCAUUUGAAACUGUUGUUCUUGAGUACUGGAGAGGCAGACGGAAUACCCAGUGUAGCGGUGAAAUGCGUAGAUAUUAGGAAGAACACCAGUGGCGAAGGCGGUAUGCUGGACAGCAACUGACGCUGAGGCGCGAAAGCGUGGGGAGCAAACAGGAUUAGAUACCCGGGUAGUC
rnacentral:rRNA from 1 species